rnacentral:lncRNA from 1 species
GAAGACAAUGAGAAUUAAGUUUUUCUUACAUCGGUGUGGCGCGGAGAAUACAAAGAAAUCAACGGAAGAUGAUUUUUUUUGCAUGGGCAAGCAAAGAAGAGUGCUAGGGAAGGGGGAACAAAUAGCCUCUAGUUUUCUCUCUUGUAGGGACAAAUAAUUGCCCUUCGAAGUUGAUUUAAUCCCCUACUUAAGGUAGGCUUAAAAAGGCUUUGGAUGUGAUUGAUUUCCCUUUCCUAGAAUAAUUUAAUUCCAAGUCCAAGUGAGAAUUUGUAUCAAAGUUGGAGAUCUCUACACCUGUUGCCCUUUCCUACGAGCAGCCCAGCAGGUGUGGAGGCAUUUGUGGAGUAAAAAAUAAUCAAGAAAAUUAUGGAGGCGACACGUGUACUUUUGAGUGAAAAAGGAUAAAUUACCCUCGAGGCACACCGAAACUUCUACACGCAAGCAAUGGACAAUCAUAGCACAAUCAAGGUCAAAAGUGAUCAAAAUAGGUAUUUAUUCAAAACAUAUUUCAUCCAUCCUCAUCAAAUCCUCCCCACAAGGUAACCUUCAAUUAUUCAUUCAAAAUAGGAUUAAUUACCUAAAUUAAUUGAUUAAUUUCCUAAUUGAUUGCAAGAUAUUAUUUUGACAUAAUAUCUUGCAAUUACACCUAAAAAACACCAUAUGUGGCUGGUUCCCAUCUCUCCAAAAGGGGUCGGCCACACCCCUAUAAAUAUCACCUCAUUUCUCCAAAAACCUAAGUCUAAUUCUCCUGCAAAACUCUCCAAAUUUCUCUAAACACUUUCUCCCUCAAAUUCUAACUUUGGCAUCGGAGGUUUCUCGGACAAGGGCCCAUUGUAGGUGCAUUUUCGUCCAAGAAGAUGAAGACGGAAAUUUGCAUCCACACUAGUCAUACAAUCAUUUUGCAGCCAGGAGGAUCCUUUAAUCAUAUUAGUUCAUCGUACAUCGUACGGUAAAAAAUUAUUGUAAAUUUUUUAUUUAAAAUUGAAUAUAAACAGUAUUUGACAAAAACUAGCUGCACAAUGUACAAUGAAUGGAUGUGAUUGGAAGAUCUCUAAGACUUUCACAAAGAGGAUUUGGCGAGGAUCCUCUCUCAUUUUGCACCACAUCUGAAUAUCAGACAAUGUGACAACCUAUCCCAAAUUUUAUGGUUUUAUAAAUUUUUAAAGGUCAUUAUUCAUUAUCCUAUUCAUUUAUUAUGGUUAUUGUUAUUUUUACUAAUGGAGGAGUUGGAAAAAUUGGGGAAAAAUAAAAAGAAAAAAGGAAGAAGAGGAAAGCUGCCUGAUGGCAGUGGAAUGGAGAAGGAGAAAAAGAGAUGGGCACUGCCUAAUCAGGAAAUGAGGAGAGUGAGGGUGACAAAUGGGAGAGAAGAACCAGGAGGGAAAGGAGGGAGGCGAGGAGCACCCAACCAAUCUACCCGUGCGCCCAAAACAACCCGGUUUCGACCCGGUUCCAAUUCCGGCUAAAUCCCACCAUUUUUCCGACGAAAGUCAUUCAUCCUUCACCUAGAAAUUAUCCCUAGACCUCCCCUCUUCCAUAUUCAUCCAAAAUUUGAAGGAAUUUGGUGGAAGUUUGGUGGAAAAACCACCAUGGGUGCCGC